ACAGUGAAUGCCUUGGUUUUGCUUACCGAUGAAGGACGCGCAAGGCUGCGAUAAUCGACGGGUAGGAGCCACGAUCCUGUGAUCCGUCGGUGUCCGAAUGGAGUAAUCCCCCUCGCGUUAUAGCGAGGGACUGGGGAGUGAAAAUACCUUGCAUUAUGUGCAUGAAAUACAUUUCAAAUUCGAAGCACGAAUAUCGAAAUUCGAAACAAAUUACAAUUUUAAAAAUAUUAAAUUCCAAACUGUUUGGAACAUUAAUAUUUGUGAUUUAGUUAUUAUUUCGGAUUUCGGAUUUAGAAUUUCGGAUUUAUUUGUUCCUGCAUAUCAUGCAGGGUAUAUAGCUUCUCAAGAGGGUACCGUCCGAACUGAAACAUCUAAGUAGGGCGAGGAGUAUAAAUCAAAUGAGAUUUCGCAAGUAGCGGAGAGCGAAAACGAAAAAGCCUAAACCUUGUCCGCAGGACAAGGAAAUUCGAAGCACGAAUAUCGAAAUUCGAAACAAAUUACAAUUUCAAAAAUAUUAAAUUUCAAACUGUUUGGAACAUUAUUAUUUAUGAUUUAUUUAUUGUUUAGGAUUUCGGAUUUAGAAUUUCGGAUUUUCUCAUCCUGUGGAUGAGGGGUUGCAGGAGUCCAAUAUGGGAUUCAUUUAUCAUAGUAGAACGGUGUGGAAUUGCCGACCAUAGAAAGUGAAAGUCUUGUAUACGAAAUGAUAGAUGACCCUAGGAAUUUCCUAAGUACCACGGUACAAAUAUACCGUGGGAAUCCGGGAGAACCAUCUUCCAAGGCUAAAUAUAAGCAAAGACCGAUAGUGAACUAGUACCGAGAGGGAAAGGCGAAAAGAAGGGUGGAACACCCAGUGAAAUAGAACCUGAAACUGUUUGCGGACAAACCGGUAGAGCUUGUUCGUAGAACGAACGUAAAGAUUUACGCGGAUUUUAGAAAUGGAUUUACGCUGAUAUUAUCAGUGAUGAUCCGCUCUUUAUCUGUGAUAAUCGUUUCGCUCGUUCUGCGAGCGAGUGAUACCGUGCCUAUUGAAGAAUGAACCGGCGAGUUGUUGUGUGGUGCAGCAUAAGUCCUUUAAUGGAAAUAUGCAGAGCGAAAGCGAGUACUAAUAGUGCAUUAGUACCACACAUCAGACCCGAAACCAGGUGAUCUAGCCAUGAGCAGGGUGAGUUCCGAUGAAGAUCGGAAGGAAGCCCGAACCCGUUGAUGUUGCAAUAUCUUGGGAUGACUUGUGGAUAGGGGUAAUAUGCCAAACGAACCUGGAGAUAGCUGGUUCUCCCCGAAAGGUCUAUAGGGACCGUGGCACGUCAGGUGUUACCGAUGGUAGAGCUACUGAAUGGGUUUGCAAGGGCAACCGAGUAAACUCAACCAAACUCCGAAUAGCGGUGUACAUUAUCGUGCUAGACAGUCGCAUCGGGCUAAGCUGAUGCGGCGAAAGGGAAACAUCCCAGACUUUCAGCUAAGGCCUCUAAAUCAUAGCUAAGUUUCAAAGGAAGUUCAUUUCCAUAAACAGCCAGGAGGUUGGCUUAGAAGCAGCCAUCCUUUAAAGAUAGCGUAACAGCUCACUGGUCGAUGGAAGUGGGCGCCGAAAAUUUAUCGAGGAUCAAGCUAUGUGCCGAAGCUAAAGAUUUUGUGCGUAGCACAAGUACACGAAUUCACGCGAAUUAUCUUUUUCUGUGUAUAUUAGUGUUUGUAUUUGUAAGAGCAAUGUUUUUUAUAAGAACUUACAAGAUACACACAAAUUAACACGAACAAGAAGUAUAUUUGUGUUUAUUAGCGUACUCGCGCUGCGCGCGAAGUGGUAGGGGAGCGUUCCAACAGCGGUGAAAUUAAGCUGUAAGGCUUGGUGGAGCGGUUGGAAGUGAGAAUGCCGGUAUGAGUAGCGCACUAGCACUGUGAGAAUCAGUGCCGCCGAAUACCCAAGGUUUCCCCGCAGACGUUCGUCGUGUGGGGGUUAAUCGGUUACUAACAUGAGCCCCGAUUUUAAUCGGGGGUAAUGGAUGUACAACAGGUUAAAAUUCCUGUAUUUGUUUUGGAUCGAAAGCCUUGUGCGUUGCACAAGAGAUUUAAGAAUAUCGAUUUAUGAUUUAUGACGAAGUCACAAGCUAUGCUUAUGAAUACUUUAUCGUGAAUCCUGAAUCAUGAAUCUUCAUUCUCUCGAGCAGCGCGCGAGUAGCUGGGGAUUGACUGGACGAGAUGAUUGAAGCCCCUUCGUGAAGUGGGGUGCAAGCAUUUAGAUAGUGUUGGUUGGAAAAUCCGCCGACAUGAUAAAUUGAGAUGUUAUGCAGAGCCUAAAGCAAUUUGGGCAAUUUUAACUCAUUUUGUCUACAAGAAAAGGUUCGCAGCGAGAUCCAGAUCAAGCCGUACCGCAAACCGACACAGGUGGGUUGGUCGAGAAGACUAAGGUGAGCGAGAGAAAGAGGCUUAAGGAACUCGGCAAAAAAGCUGGACGUAACUUCGGGAGAUGUCCUGCCUUGUGCGGCGCAAGUCGCGCGAGGCUACAACAAAUGAUUGCUAACCGACUGUUUAUCAAAAACACAGGUCCGUGCAAAGCAGAAAUGCAAAGUAUACGGGCUGACACCUGCCCAGUGCCGGUAAGUUAAGUGGAUUCGUCCCUGCGCAAGCGGGAUGCGAUGAAAUUAAGCUCCGGUAAACGGCAGCAGUAACUAUAACUGUUCUACGGUAGCGAAGCCCCUUGUCGGGUAAGUUCCGACCUGCAUGAAUGGUGUAACGAGUUA
rnacentral:rRNA from 1 species